GCCUUCGUGGUGUGGUGGUGAGCACGUUCGGCGCGUAUUCGAGAGGUCCGUGGUUCAAACCCCGGCGAGGGCA
rnacentral:tRNA from 1 species